rfam:Brassica oleracea var. oleracea cultivar TO1000 chromosome C7, whole genome shotgun sequence
GGGUGCGAUCAUACCAUCACUAAUGUACCAGAUCUUAUCAAAACUCCUCAGUUAAACAUGGUUGCCGAAAGUAGUAAUAGAAUAGGUGACCUUCUGAAAAAUGCUCGUCUUGCACCCU